rnacentral:rRNA from 1 species
UACGUAGGGUGCAAGCGUUAAUCGGAAUUACUGGGCGUAAAGCGUGCGCAGGCGGUUAUGUAAGACAGGUGUGAAAUCCCCGGGCUUAACCUGGGAACUGCAUUUGUGACUGCAUAGCUAGAGUACGGUAGAGGGGGAUGGAAUUCCGCGUGUAGCAGUGGAAUGCGUAGAUAUGCGGAGGAACACCGAUGGCGAAGGCAAUCCCCUGGACCUGUACUGACGCUCAUGCACGAAAGCGUGGGGAGCAAACAGG